rnacentral:lncRNA from 1 species
GGAGAGGAGAGGCACACACCUGGCUGGAGAAUGUUGAUCAAAUAGGCUUGAUUUGGUGUAGAGGGCACGACAGGGGACCCCAGAGGAAGCAAGAGCAAGAACAGAGGAUGAGCUCAAACAGCACCUGAGAGAGAGGCCAGGACUCCGAGAGAGGUUCUCUGGGAAGAACCCAAGAGAAGGAUGGACUGCAGAUGCUGGGUAAUGAUUGUCUUUUACCCAAAGAAGCAGGAGUCAGCUGCUCUGAGACAGGAUUCGGUCCUUCAAUCUCUUGACAGCACUGAGAAAGAAAAAAAGUCAGGAAGAAAGGCAAUACUGCAGAAAAUUCAUGAAAAAUAGCCAGCCAGUUUUUUUUUUUUUUUUUUUUAAUGUGGAGAACAAAAAUGAGAGAGGAGGCCUGAGGAACUGGCAUGAGGAGAAAGGAGCAUUUGCUGUUAUAUACGGCAGAAGC